rnacentral:misc_RNA from 1 species
GAUGAAGAACGUAGCGAAAUGCGAUACGUAGUGUGAAUUGCAGAAUUCCGUGAACCAUCAAAUCUUUGAACGCAUAUUGCGCUCGAGGCUUCGGCCGAGAGCAUGUCUGCCUCAGCGUCGGUAUUACCCCUCGCUUCUCAACCCCUGGUUGAUGCCUGCCUGCCUUUGCAGUUGGCUAGAAGCGGAUCUGGCUUUCCCAAUUGCCUUUGGUAGUUGGGUCAGCUGAAGCACAGAGGCUUGAGCAAGGACCCUUAUUGGGCUUCAACUGGAUAGGUAGAACUGGUCUUAGGACCAACUACACGAAGUUGUUGCUUGUGGUAUUUUGUCUGGAGGCCAGCAGGAAACCUUUAUACCUUCGACCUGAGCUCAGGCAAGAUUACCCGCUGAACUUAAGCAUAUCAAUAAGCGGAGGA